rnacentral:rRNA from 1 species
AUUGAACGCUGGCGGAAUGCUUUACACAUGCAAGUCGAACGGUAGAGGGGGCAACCCCUUGAGAGUGGCGAACGGGUGAGUAAUAUAUCGGAACGUGCCCAGUCGUGGGGAUAACGUAGCGAAAGUUACGCUAAUACCGCAUACGAUCUACGGAUGAAAGCGGGGGAUCGCAAGACCUCGCGCGAUUGGAGCGGCCGAUAUCAGAUUAGGUAGUUGGUGAGGUAAAGGCUCACCAAGCCGACGAUCUGUAGCUGGUCUGAGAGGACGACCAGCCACACUGGGACUGAGACACGGUCCAGACUCCUACGGGAGGCAGCAGUGGGGAAUUUUGGACAAUGGACGCAAGUCUGAUCCAGCCAUUCCGCGUGCAGGAUGAAGGCCCUCGGGUUGUAAACUGCUUUGUACGGAACGAAAAGGUUUGUCUUAAUACGAUGAGCUCAUGACGGUACCGUAAGAAUAAGCACCGGCUAACUACGUGCCAGCAG